GACGAACGCUGGCGGCGUGCUUAACACAUGCAAGUCGAACGGAAAGGCCCUGCUUUUGUGGGGUGCUCGAGUGGCGAACGGGUGAGUAACACGUGAGUAACCUGCCCUUGACUUUGGGAUAGCUUCAGGAAACUGGGGCUAAUACCGGAUAGGAGCUCCUGCUGCAUGGUGGGGGUUGGAAAGUUUCGGCGGUUGGGGAUGGACUCGCGGCUUAUCAGCUUGUUGGUGGGGUAGUGGCUUACCAAGGCUUUGACGGGUAGCCGGCCUGAGAGGGUGACCGGCCACAUUGGGACUGAGAUACGGCCCAGACUCCUACGGGAGGCAGCAGUGGGGAAUAUUGCACAAUGGGCGGAAGCCUGAUGCAGCAACGCCGCGUGCGGGAUGACGGCCUUCGGGUGGUAAACCGCUUUCGCCUGUGACGAAGCGUGAGUGACGGUAAUGGGUAAAGAAGCACCGGCUAACUACGU
rnacentral:rRNA from 1 species